rnacentral:rRNA from 1 species
UACAGAGGGUGCAAGCGUUAAUCGGAAUUACUGGGCGUAAAGCGUGCGUAGACGGUCAUGUAAGUCGGGUGUGAAAGCCCCGGGCUCAACCUGGGAAUUGCAUUCGAGACUGCAUGGCUAGGAUGCGGAAGAGGGAAGCGGAAUUUCCGGUGUAGCGGUGAAAUGCGUAGAUAUCGGAAGGAACACCAGUGGCGAAAGCGGCUUCCUGGUCCA